GGUCUGGAUGGCAUAGAGGUUAGAGCAUCCUCCUCGGAUGCGGGAGGCCGCUGGUUCGAAUAUCGGCUGAGUCAUACCA